GAUGAACGCUGGCGGCGUGCCUAAUACAUGCAAGUCGAGCGAACGGACGAGAAGCUUGCUUCUCUGAUGUUAGCGGCGGACGGGUGAGUAACACGUGGAUAACCUACCUAUAAGACUGGGAUAACUUCGGGAAACCGGAGCUAAUACCGGAUAAUAUUUUGAACCGCAUGGUUCAAAAGUGAAAGACGGUCUUGCUGUCACUUAUAGAUGGAUCCGCGCUGCAUUAGCUAGUUGGUAAGGUAACGGCUUACCAAGGCAACGAUGCAUAGCCGACCUGAGAGGGUGAUCGGCCACACUGGAACUGAGACACGGUCCAGACUCCUACGGGAGGCAGCAGUAGGGAAUCUUCCGCAAUGGGCGAAAGCCUGACGGAGCAACGCCGCGUGAGUGAUGAAGGUCUUCGGAUCGUAAAACUCUGUUAUUAGGGAAGAACAUAUGUGUAAGUAACUGUGCACAUCUUGACGGUACCUAAUCAGAAAGCCACGGCUAACUACGUGCCAGCAGCCGCGGUAAUACGUAGGUGGCAAGCGUUAUCCGGAAUUAUUGGGCGUAAAGCGCGCGUAGGCGGUUUUUUAAGUCUGAUGUGAAAGCCCACGGCUCAACCGUGGAGGGUCAUUGGAAACUGGAAAACUUGAGUGCAGAAGAGGAAAGUGGAAUUCCAUGUGUAGCGGUGAAAUGCGCAGAGAUAUGGAGGAACACCAGUGGCGAAGGCGACUUUCUGGUCUGUAACUGACGCUGAUGUGCGAAAGCGUGGGGAUCAAACAGGAUUAGAUACCCUGGUAGUCCACGCCGUAAACGAUGAGUGCUAAGUGUUAGGGGGUUUCCGCCCCUUAGUGCUGCAGCUAACGCAUUAAGCACUCCGCCUGGGGAGUACGACCGCAAGGUUGAAACUCAAAGGAAUUGACGGGGACCCGCACAAGCGGUGGAGCAUGUGGUUUAAUUUGAAGCAACGCGAAGAACCUUACCAAAUCUUGACAUCCUUUGACAACUCUAGAGAUAGAGCCUUCCCCUUCGGGGGACAAAGUGACAGGUGGUGCAUGGUUGUCGUCAGCUCGUGUCGUGAGAUGUUGGGUUAAGUCCCGCAACGAGCGCAACCCUUAAGCUUAGUUGCCAUCAUUAAGUUGGGCACUCUAAGUUGACUGCCGGUGACAAACCGGAGGAAGGUGGGGAUGACGUCAAAUCAUCAUGCCCCUUAUGAUUUGGGCUACACACGUGCUACAAUGGACAAUACAAAGGGCAGCGAAACCGCGAGGUCAAGCAAAUCCCAUAAAGUUGUUCUCAGUUCGGAUUGUAGUCUGCAACUCGACUACAUGAAGCUGGAAUCGCUAGUAAUCGUAGAUCAGCAUGCUACGGUGAAUACGUUCCCGGGUCU
rnacentral:rRNA from 1 species